UGGCAUAUUCACACAGAAUUUCUCUACAGCGAUGAGAACUGACAGACGUGCGACAAGAUUGCUAUGAACAGAAUUGUGCCCCCCGCAAAUUCAUAUGUUGAGGUCCUAACCCCCAAUGUUACUACAUACAGAGUUAGUAGCAUCUUUUAAGAGCUCCGUGAGGUCAUAAAGGUAUGGGGUCCUCAUCUAACAGAACUGGUGUCCUUCUAAGAAGAGGAAGAGUUGCCAAGGAUGCCCAUGAACAGAGAAAAAGCCAUGUGAGGACACAGUGAGACAAUGUCAUCUGCAAGUCAAGGACAGGGCCUUGGACUUGGAUGAUUCACUUAAUCUUUCCGAGCCUCAGUUUCCUCAUCUGAAAACGGUGGUUUACAACAUGCACAUAUUGUGAGGAUUACGUGAGAAAAAAUGCAUAAAAAAACACCCGGAAGGAAGGAAGGAAGGAAGGAAGGAAGGAAGGAAGGAAGGAAGGAAGGACUCACAAAAUGUUAAAUAAGGUCUGUUCCUGAUGCACAAGUGCCUCGCUCACCAGGUAUGGGAAGGAUUUAACUGCCUGAGGCUAGCUAGAAAGGGGGUCUGGGGAGACCAUAUGCCUACCUUUUUCCCCACAGCACUUUACAGUCAGAUUUCCCAUGGGGCCUCGCGGCCCUAUAAAAGUAGGGAAAUUGUUAUUUCCAUCUUAGAGAUGAGGAAACUGAGGUUCACUGCUGACUCUAAUAAACGUGGUCUUUCUUGGUUCAAAGCCAUUGUAGU